AAUAAAAUACUGAUCACAAGUUUGCGGUCAGUAAGAUUUUGUAAUUGUUUUUUAUAAGUUUUAUGUUAAAGUAAAACAGCAAUUUUUUUUUUCAUUUCUGAAACAAUUUUGCAAGGGAUAUGGCCUAAAACAAAAGAAAUCAGGAUGGGGCAAAGACUUUUUCACAGCACUGUAUGAUAAUUAAAAAAAUCUGAACAUAAUUGAUCUGAUUUAGUACAAUUAUGCAUAUUCAUUCCCUUAUUGCAAUAUGAACAUGGCUUAAAUAAUUAUAAUUAAAAAUAUUUUUUUAAUUAUAAAUUUAAUGUCAUUAAAUAUAUAAUUAUAAAAUAAAAUAAUUAAAAAAUGUAUUUUCUUUUGACAGGCUCAUGGCUUUCAGUAGUGCUGUUUUCACAGUUAUUGGUUUAUUUCUGUCUGGACUCAUAGGAUUCAUCUGUCUGUGCCGCUCUACCAGUUCUGCUGAUGUUCUCACAGAGCUGAACUACACCUCCUGCCAGAUAGAAACAUCAGCUCUUUUAACCUCCUCUGUCUGUGCCUCAAAACAUGGAUGACCUGUUUACUUUCUUUUCCUUUCGCUAAAGUAUUAAAUCUUAAAUCUAAUUUAGUCUAUAUGUAUAUACUUCUUUAUUCAACUAUUGUAACACACAUUGCUUUGAACAUACAGAUGAAUUGUAACAACAAAGUUGACAGUUGAACUGCAACAGUUUCAGAAAAUGAUCAUAGUGUCCUACUGGUUUUGUCUGUUUUUUUUUUUGUUUUUUUUACUUUAAGAUCAAUGACCAUCUGAACUGCUUGCUUUUGUCUGCAUGCUUUUAUGCAGUUGCUUCCAUAUAAUUAUCGGAUUAGAUUUUUGCAUUAAGAAGCAAAAGUGUACCUGAUAAAGGCACCACUGUGUCCAGCUGUGUGUAUAAAAUCAUUAACCUAUUCACUAUGGUAUGCAAUAAAAAAUGAAGAUAAACCUGAACAAAGAUGUGUGUGAGGUGUGUAUACAUGAAGAGAGAAUAUAAAUUUUGCUUUCUUGGUGGCACAGCAGGUAAGAGCAGCCUAAUUGCUUUACUGAAGAAAAGGAUGCAUGGAUGUGGUACUUGAGUUCAGAAAGUGAAUCGUGUUGAACCAAAAGCUGCUUUGGUUUGGGGAGUCAGACUGAUUCAAAGUUGUAAGUUCUGAGUUUGUGAGUCUUUUGAACUACAAACCGAUUCCAAAAAAGUUGGGACACUGUACAAAUUGUGAGUAAAAAAAGGAAUGGAAUAAUUUACAAAUCUCAUAAACUUAUAUUUUAUUUCACAAUAGAAUAUAGAUAACUUUUCAAAUGUUGAAAGUGAGACAUUUUGAAAUGUCAUGCCAAAUAUUGGCUCAUUUUGGAUUUCAUGAGAAUAAGGAACAGCUGGAGGACCAAUUUGCAACUUAUUAGGUCAAUUGGCGACAUGAUUGGGUAUAAAAAGAGCCUUUCAGAGUAGC
rnacentral:lncRNA from 1 species